CAACCCUUGAGCAAUGACAAGUACCUGCCAAACACUGUUGUGAAAACCUCUCUCCUGGGAAAACAAAGGUCAUGACAUUUUGAGCACAAUUGUGUGUGGGAUGCAUUCAUCAAUAGAGCUGGAAGCACCAACCACCAUAGGAGAGGAAACUUUUAGUUACAAGCACAUGAAUAAAUAAAAUCAAACUCAACUGGAAUGACGUUCCUGAGGAUGGAGAUACAUUUUUUUGUUGACCCAUCUAAACUUGAACAGCAAGUGAUAAUCAGUCUCCAAUCAGAAAGUCCCAGAAGUUAGCUGUUGGCCAAACUAUUCCUACUUUCAAGGACUUAUAGGAGCAGAAAUCAGAAGACUUUACUCCACACACUUCAGGUGGACAUGUGGACAAAGCCAUCGGAGAACAUGACAAAAAUACAGCAAGAGCAGAGACAAGAUCAGAUCAUCCUGGGGGCAGAUGCUGGGCUCUGACCAAUUUGAGAGAGAAAAGGAAAAAGAACCCAGCUACAAGAUGCACAAGUAGCAGGCCACAGCCACCAACAUCAGCAGAGCAAUUGGAGGCCAGGAAGACAAGGACACUUCUGAAGAGACUGAAAAAAGCAGAAGACAGUCCAAGUCACUGCAAGGUUCCAAGGUCUCUUUUUUCAUUACUGUUACAAGUACCAAGUAAGCCAAAAUCCACCCUACUCUUCAAAACCAUCUUGAAGAGUUGCAGGUCAGGGUUGCUGCAUCUGAGCAUGUUUACUCACAAAAGGUGACAGAUGCUCCUCAACUUACAAUGAGAUUACAUCCUGAUAAAUGUGUCAUAAGUUGAAAGUAUCUUAUAAGUCGAAAAUGCAUUUACUACAGCCUAACCCACUGAACAUUGUAGCUUAGGCUAGCCUACCUUAAAACGUGAUCAGGACACUUCCCUCAGCCUACAUUUGGGCAAAAUCACCUAACACGAAGCCUAUUUUAUAAUAGAGCAUUGAAUAGCUCAAAUAAUUUAUUGAAUACUGUACAUUACAUAGAAUUUGUGACAGUUUUACACCAUCAUUAUGUCAAAAAAUCAUUAAGUUGAGCCACCAUAACUCAGGGACUGUCUGUAUUUAUAUUUUUACUUCACACUAAGCUUUGAAACUGAAAUUUUUGCUCCUCAGCAGAUGGGGUUUCUGAGAAAGACCAAAUUAGUUAUAGAGCACUAGCUCCCAAAAAAAAAAAAAAAAAAAAACAGAAGAAGUCAGAGGAGGAGGGCAACAUGGAGCAGAGGAAGAAGGAGAGAAAAAGCAAGAAACCAUUAUCGCUCCCUCAUCUGAACUGCACUGCGAGUAAGCUGGGGCUUCCACCACAGUGUCCUGGAAGCCAUGUUUGCUGCCCAUUUCUGGACUCUCCAGCCACACUGGCCUCCUUUCCCUUUCUCAAACCUGCUGUGGUUCCUGCCACUUCAAGAUAAUCUCUUAACAAUCUAUUCCUUCUGCCUGGAAUGCUCUUCCUCCCACCCAACCCCGCUCUGCCCAGCUAACUCCAUUCUUUGGCCCCUGCAUCACUUUCCCAAGGAAGCCAUUUCUGGACUUCCCUGACCCCUGCCUUCCAUCUUCACUGGCCCAGAGUUCCCUACCCUAUGGUCUCAUUGCUCCCUCCCAGGCACUGCUGCCUCCCAGGACUCUUCCCUGUCGGUAAUAUAGUUCUGUUUGAUUGUUCAGUUAAUUUUGCCUCCCCUGAAGACCAUAAGCCAUGUUGGCAAUGAUGGUUUUGCUCACCAUUGCACCUCCAGUGUCUAAAAACCAUGGGCAGGUCAAUUCAUUUUUGUUGAGUAAAGGAAUUGUUCAAUAAGUGCACAAAUAAAUUCACAUUAAAACUUGUC
rnacentral:lncRNA from 1 species